AUGUCUACGAGCCAGGAUUCCCGAUCCAGAGACAAUGGCCCCGAUGGGAUGGAGCCUGAAGGCGUCAUCGAGAGUAACUGGAAUGAGAUUGUUGACAGUUUUGAUGACAUGAACUUCUCAGAGUCCCUUCUCCGUGGCAUCUACGCCUAUGGUUUUGAGAAGCCAUCUGCCAUCCAGCAGCGAGCCAUUCUACCUUGUAUCAAGGGUUAUGAUGUGAUCGCUCAAGCCCAAUCUGGGACUGGGAAAACGGCCACAUUUGCCAUAUCGAUUCUGCAGCAGAUCAAAUUAGAUCUAAAAGCCACCCAGGCCUUGGUCCUGGCACCCACUCGAGAAUUGGCUCAGCAGAUACAGAAGGUGGUCAUGGCACUAGGAGACUACAUGGGCGCCUCCUGUCAUGCCUGUAUUGGGGGCACCAACGUACGUGCUGAGGUGCAGAAACUGCAGAUGGAAGCCCCCACAUAAUCGUGGGGACCCCUGGCCGAGUGUUUGAUAUGCUUAACCGGAGAUACCUGUCUCCCAAAUACAUCAAGAUGCUUGUACUGGACGAAGCUGACGAAAUGUUAAGCCGUGGAUUCAAGGACCAGAUCUAUGACAUAUUCCAAAAGCUCAACAGCAACACCCAGGUAGUUUUGCUGUCAGCUACAAUGCCUUCUGAUGUGCUUGAGGUGACUAAGAAGUUCAUGAGGGACCCUAUUCGGAUUCUUGUCAAGAAGGAAGAGUUGACCCUGGAGGGUAUCUGCCAAUUCUACAUCAACGUGGAACGAGAGGAGUGGAAGCUGGACACACUAUGUGACUUGUAUGAAACCCUGACCAUCACCCAGCCAGUCAUCUUCAUCAACACCCGGAGGAAGGUGGACUGGCUCACCGAGAAGAUGCAUGCUUGAGAUUUCACUGUGUCUGCCAUGCAUGGAGAUAUGGACCAAAAGGAACGAGACAUGAUCAUGAGGGAGUUUCGUUCUGGCUCUAGCAGAAUUUUGAUUACCACUGACCUGCUGGCCAGAGGCACUGAUGUGCAGCAGGUUUCUUUAGUCAUCAACUAUGAUUUUCCCACCAACAGGGAAAACUAUAUCCACAGAAUCGGUCGAGGUGGACGGUUUGGCCGUAAAGGUGUGGCUGUUAACAUGGUGACAGAAGAAGACAAGAGGACUCUUCAAGACAUCGAGACCUUCUAUAACACCUCCAUUGAGGAAAUGCCCCUCAAUGUUGCUGACCUCAUCUGAGGGGCUGUCCUGCCACCCAGCCCCAGCCAGGGCUCAAU